rnacentral:rRNA from 1 species
GAUGAAGCCUUUCGGGGUGGAUUAGUGGCGAACGGGUGAGUAACACGUGGGCAAUCUGCCCUGCACUCUGGGACAAGCCCUGGAAACGGGGUCUAAUACCGGAUAAUACCUGCCGAGGCAUCUCGGUGGGUUGAAAGCUCCGGCGGUGCAGGAUGAGCCCGCGGCCUAUCAGCUUGUUGGUGGGGUGAUGGCCUACCAAGGCGACGACGGGUAGCCGGCCUGAGAGGGCGACCGGCCACACUGGGACUGAGACACGGCCCAGACUCCUACGGGAGGCAGCAGUGGGGAAUAUUGCACAAUGGGCGAAAGCCUGAUGCAGCGACGCCGCGUGAGGGAUGACGGCCUUCGGGUUGUAAACCUCUUUCAGCAGGGAAGAAGCGAAAGUGACGGUACCUGCAGAAGAAGCGCCGGCUAACUACGUGCCAGCAGCCGCGGUAAUACGUAGGGCGCAAGCGUUGUCCGGAAUUAUUGGGCGUAAAGAGCUCGUAGGCGGCUUGUUGCGUCGGAUGUGAAAGC